rnacentral:piRNA from 1 species
UUGCAGUCUUGUGAACACUGUUGUGGU